rnacentral:sRNA from 19 species
AUAGAUAAAGACUGAGGUCGUUUUAAAUCAGAAAGUUAUUCCCCAAUUCAAUCAAAAUAUUGUUUUCUCUCUCCAUAAAAACAAAUAGUAUUUUUGAUUUAGCUUUACUGAUGGUUACGAUUAGAAUUUGUCUUUGUUUGGAUAUGAAACUGAUUUUAUCAGUGAAGCCUAGAUUAUUCUAGGCUUUU